rnacentral:rRNA from 1 species
AAGUCGUAACAAGGUUCACUUUCCGGAAGCCUUGGCUGCAGCGACUCUAAACAUUUGCAAUUGGUCUGCGGUAGCUUUUAGCCGAGCAGGCGACAUCGUUCAAAUGCUGGAAUUGGAUUCUGCGACCGCGGGUCCAUAUCAGCUGCCCGGCGUUCGCCCAACGCCGCCGGGUUCACAGAUCAGUCAACGAUGAUCAUCGGGGAGGCUCUCGAUGAUUGAGAUAUGACCGGUCCCGGCUGUAAUCGUCGUGGGAGAAACGUUCCGUAGGUGAACCUGCGGAAGGAUCAUUACCGAGAGUGGAGCCUGGCUCCGGGGGGCAAACCGCCCCCACCUCUUCACCCAUGUGGAUAUUUCCGCGUUGCUUUGGCGAGCUCUUCGGGAACCCCUGGGGGCCAUCGCCAGAGACCCAAUUCAAUGCUGUGUAUAAUUGUGAUCUGAGUAAACUUAUAAUCGUUAAAACUUUCAACAACGGAUCUCUUGGCUCUGGCAUCGAUGAAGAACGCAGCGAAAUGCGAUAAGUAAUGUGAAUUGCAGAAUUCAGUGAAUCAUCGAAUCUUUGAACGCACAUUGCGCCCCUCGGUAUUCCGAGGGGCAUACCUGUUCGAGCGUCAUUGCUCACCUCAAGCUUGGCUUGGUCUUGGGCGUGCGUCCCGCGGGACGGGCCCGAAAAACAGUGGCGGUGCGGCCGUGACCGCGAGCGUAGUAAUUAAUCGUUCGCUCCGCGCGUGACGCCGUGCCCGCCAGCCAACCCGUGAUUCAUCACCGGUUGACCUCGGAUCAGGUAGGGAUACCCGCUGAACUUAA